AGAGCUACAAGGCCGCAUAUAGGUAAGGAGAGCUGCAAGGCCGCAUGUGGGUAAGGAGAGCUGCAAGGCCCACAUGUGGGUAAGGAGAGCUGCAAGGCCGCAUGUGGGUAAGGAGAGCUGCAAGGCCGCAUGUGGGUAAGGAGAGCUGCAAGGCCCGCAUGUGGGUAAGGAGAGCUGCAAGGCCGCAUGUGGGUAAGGAGAGCUGCAAGGCCCGCAUGUGGGUAAGGAGAGCGGCAAGGCCCGCAUGUGGGUAAGGAGAGCUACAAGGCCCGCAUGUGCGUAAGGAGAGCUGCAAGGCCGCAUGUGGGUAAGGAGAGCUGCAAGGCCGCAUGUGGGUAAGGAGAGCUGCAAGGCCCGCAUGUGGGUAAGGAGAGCUGCAAGGCCGCAUGUGAGUAAGGAGAGCUGCAAGGCCGCAUGUGGGUAAGGAGAGCUGCAAGGCCCACAUGUGGGUAAGGAGAGUGGCAAGGCCCGCAUGUGGGUAAGGAGAGCUACAAGGCCCGCAUGUGCGUAAGGAGAGCUGCAAGGCCGCAUGUGGGUAAGGAGAGCUGCAAGGCCCCAUGUGGGUAAGGAGAGCUGCAAGGCCGUAUG
rnacentral:lncRNA from 1 species